AAUCCUUUAACGAGGAUCUAUUGGAGGGCAAGUCUGGUGCCAGCAGCCGCGGUAAUUCCAGCUCCAAUAGCGUAUAUUAAAGUUGUUGCGGUUAAAAAGCUCGUAGUUGGAUCUGCGGUCAAGGGAAGUGGUCCUCCGACGGAUGGUUACUGCUUUUCCUGACCUAACUUCUUCGGUUUUCCCUUGAUGCUCUUUACCGAGUGUUUUGGGUGACCGAAACGUUUACUUUGAAAAAAUUAGAGUGCUCAAAGCAGUCGUACAGACUGAAUAGUGGUGCAUGGAAUAAUAAAAGAGGGUCUCGGUUCUAUUUUGUUGGUAUUGGAUUGAGAUAAUGAUCGACGGGGAUAGACGGGGGCAUUCGUAUUGCGACGUUAGAGGUGAAAUUCUUGGAUCGUCGCCAGACGAACAACUGCGAAGGCAUUUGCCAAGAAUAUGCUCUUCAAUCAAGAACGAAAGCGAGAGGCGCGAACGCGAUCAGAUACCGCGGUAGUUCUCGCCGUAAACGAUGCCAACUAGCGAUCCGCCGGAGUUAAAUGAUGACUCGGCGGGCAGCUUCCGGGAAACCAAAGUUUUUGGGUUCCGGGGGAAGUAUGGUUGCAAAGCUGAAACUUAAAGGAGUUGACGGGAGGGCACCACCAGGAGUGGAGCCUGCGGCUUAAUUUGACCCAACACGGGGAAACUCACCCGGCCCGGACACCGUAAGGAUUGACAGAUUGAGAGCUCUUUCUUGAUUCGGUGGGUGGUGGUGCAUGGCCGUUCUUAGUUGGUGGAGCGAUUUGUCUGGUUAAUUCCGAUAACGAACGAGACUCUAGCCUGCUAAAUAGACAGUGAAUCGUUAGUUCAUUGUACUACUUAGAGGGACAAGCGGCAUCUAGCUGCACGAGAUUGAGCAAUAACAGGUCUGUGAUGCCCUUAGAUGUUCGGGGCUGCACGCGCGCUACACUGAAGGAAUCAACAUGCAUUCCAACCUUACCCGAAAGGGUUUGGUAACCCGUUGAAACUCCUUCGUGAUUGGGAUAGGGACUUGCAAUUAUGGCCCUUGAACGAGGUAUUCCCAGUAAGUGCGGGUCAUCAGCUCGCGUUGAUUACGUCCCUGCCCUUUGUACACACCGCCCGUCGCUACUACCGAUUGGAUGGUAAAGUGAGUCGUAUGGACGCAUGUCGAGACGGCCUCACGGCUGCCUCGGUCGUUGCGAAAAUUCAACGAGCUUUGUCAUCUAGA
rnacentral:rRNA from 1 species